rnacentral:lncRNA from 1 species
UGUGUCGCCGCUCCUGGAGCUUGAACGGCGAGCGGCGAGGCCCGGUGGAGGAGUCGACGGAGUUGGGUCGCGCAGAUGCCCGGACGGGGAGGGUGACGGGAAGUUUCUCUGGAGAGUCGACGGCGGCGCCGGUGAGCUUUUGGACAAGGUCUCGGAAGGUGGUGGCGUCGGCUUGGACGAAGGUGGUGGAGGUGGGUGGUGGAGUGGGUGGCGAAGAGACUGUGUAGUGAAGGCGCCUUGUAUCCAUGUUCAGAGAGAGGGUUUGAGUCUUUGAGAGAGAAAGGAGCGACUGUGAAUGAGAGGAGAUGAUUGUCAUGGUGGAGUGAGAG